UCCGUGCCAGCAGCCGCGGUUAUACGGAGGAUCCAAGCGUUAUCCGGAUUUAUUGGGUUUAAAGGGUGCGUAGGCGGCUUAUUAAGUCAGGGGUGAAAGACGGUGGCUCAACCAUCGCAGUGCCCUUGAUACUGAUGAGCUUGAAUACACUAGAGGUAGGCGGAAUGUGACAAGUAGCGGUGUAAUGCAUAGAUAUGUCACAGAACACCGAUUGCGAAGGCAGCUUACUAUGGUGUCAUUGACGCUGAGGCACGAAAGCGUGGGGAUCAAACAGGAUUAGAUACCCAGGUAGUCCACGCCCUAAACGAUGAAUACUCGCUGUUAGCGAUACACAGUUAGCGGCUAAGCGAAAGCGUUAAGUAUUCCACCUGGGGAGUACGGUCGCAAGAUUGAAACUCAAAGGAAUUGACGGGGGCCCGCACAAGCGGAGGAGCAUGUGGUUUAAUUCGAUGAUACGCGAGGAACCUUACCCGGGCUUGAAAGUUAGUGAAUCAUUUAGAGAUAGAUGAGUGAGCAAUCACACGAAACUAGGUGCUGCAUGGCUGUCGUCAGCUCGUGCCGUGAGGUGUUGGGUUAAGUCCCGCAACGAGCGCAACCCCUAUGUUUAGUUGCCAGCACGUUAAGGUGGGGACUCUAAACAGACUGCCUGUGCAAACAGAGAGGAAGGAGGGGACGACGUCAAGUCAUCAUGGCCCUUACGUCCGGGGCUACACACGUGCUACAAUGGAUGGUACAGAGGGCAGCAAGCUGGCAACAGCAAGCAAAUCUCAAAAAGCCAUUCACAGUUCGGAUAGAGGUCUGCAACUCGACCUCUUGAAGUUGGAUUCGCUAGUAAUCGCGUAUCAGCAAUGACGCGGUGAAUACGUUCCCGGGCCUUGUACACACCGCCCGUCAAGCCAUGGAAGUUGGGGGUACCUAAAGUAUGUAACCGCAAGGAGCUCCCUAGG
rnacentral:rRNA from 1 species